rnacentral:rRNA from 1 species
GACGAACGCUGGCGGCGUGCCUAAUACAUGCAAGUAGAACGCACAGUUUAUACCGUAGCUUGCUACACCAUAGACUGUGAGUUGCGAACGGGUGAGUAACGCGUAGGUAACCUGCCUGGUAGCGGGGGAUAACUAUUGGAAACGAUAGCUAAUACCGCAUAAUAUUGAUUAUUGCAUGAUAAUUGAUUGAAAGAUGCUAUUGCAUCACUACCGGAUGGACCUGCGUUGUAUUAGCUAGUAGGUGAGGUAACGGCUCACCUAGGCGACGAUACAUAGCCGACCUGAGAGGGUGAUCGGCCACACUGGGACUGAGACACGGCCCAGACUCCUACGGGAGGCAGCAGUAGGGAAUCUUCGGCAAUGGACGAAAGUCUGACCGAGCAACGCCGCGUGAGUGAAGAAGGUUUUCGGAUCGUAAAGCUCUGUUGUAAGAGAAGAACGGGUGUGAGAGUGGAAAGUUCACACUGUGACGGUAUCUUACCAGAAAGGGACGGCUAACUACGUG